CAUGAAACACUGCUGCAGGUCCAAGCUGAAACAAAAGGAAAGUGGGAAAACAAACGGGUGUGGCAACAUAAAACAAACAUUUAAGUGAAUCCAAGAGACUGGGAAAUCCAGGGACAGAAUAUAAAAAUGAACUCAGAAACCCAGCAAUCAAGAAAACCAGACAUAGACCAGAAACACCAAGCAAGGACAACAAAAAGAAUACCAGAAGCCAUUGCCAGAAUGAUCUGCAGCGAGGAACAGGA